CUAAAUUCCCCUGUAAAAUUAGGGUUUCUGCGCUUCUUGUGAGAGCAUUUGGGAAUUUGGAGAACAGCAAUGGUGAAGGGGAGGCAAGGCGAGCGCGUGAGACUCUACGUCCGCGGUACAAUCCUCGGAUACAAAAGGUCGAAGUCGAACCAGUAUCCAAACACGUCGUUGGUUCAGGUGGAAGGUGUGAACACGCAGGAGGAGGUGGCAUGGUACCUCGGGAAGAAAUUAGCCUACAUUUACAAAGCCAAAGUUAAGAAGAACGGCUCUCACUACCGCUGCAUCUGAUGCAUGGAAUUUGAGCUUGUUUUGUGAUUAUAAAUACUCAUUAUGGAAUGUCAAACCAGUUCUACGACUUAUAAUUUUGUUCUUGUUUGAAUCUGCUCCCAGUUGUGUUCUUAUUAGCAAUGGUUGUUAAUGUAGCUUACUUGUUGCUGUUUGGUAAAGUUUUGAUCUAAUUUGGCA